UCAAACACAUCUGCCAGCGGCUAGAAUGAUAAGAAAGGAGAAAUCUAACCAGUGGAAAAUACAUCAUGUUUACCACAAGUUUAAAACAAAGAAUCAGCAGCCAUGACAGGAUUAAAUCGAGGACACCAUUAUUCCAUUAAAUGAUCUUUAGAUGAAUGCUGUGUCUCUGAGGAGGGUAUAAGACAAAAUGGAAGGCUUGCUGUGUGGAUGCUUUUCUUCCCGUGCACGUCAAUUUGUUGCCUCUGUUAUUCGAUAGCAGUGUAUAAAUCUUACUCAUUUCAUUCCAGAUAAAGGGAGACAACAUCAUAGGACCUGUGUAUCUUUGCAUGGGAUAUUGAGAACUGGACUCCUCAUUUUCUAUAGCUGGGGAUUAGGAAGUGCUCUCACUCCCACUUCACCCGAGGGUGAACAGGCGCAGCGCCGUCCUACAGCGUUGGAACAGCUGUUUUGAGGUAUUUAUUUGGCCUCCCUCUCCACAAGAGCUGAGCACCUCACAAUCACUAAUGGAUUUUGCUGGGUUUGUCUUGUUUCCUGCACCCCAAAGAAGUUCUGCCCAGAGAUUAAACGUCUCCUUUCUGGGAAGCGGUUUGGUCAGUAUAAAAGCAUUUUAAAACCUGCAUUUUUAUGAAGUUUUUAUUAGUUGCAGAGCCUGAGAGAUGGGCACUAAAUAGAAUAUUGGUCAACAAAGGUAUCUAUUUAAAAAAAACAGGUUGACUCUGAUUAAAUGCAAAUACUGAAUUGAGCUUCAUUUCCUCCUGAAUCCAAGGUGUCCUUCCCCAAGGCAAUACCUUCAGGACUGACCCCUCAGCUUCCCUCCCAUCCUAUUUAACAACAAGACCUGACUAGGAGACAGAAGGGGAAAACUCGCCUUCUAGGGUGAUAAACAAGCCUCUGUGCUCGUAUUCCCUAUAAACACUAUUUCAGCUGAUCUCCCCAAUGCUGUUCAUACACUGAGAGAGAGAAAUAAACAGCCAGGCACAGAAACA
rnacentral:lncRNA from 1 species